CACCAGUGAUCGUUUCGCAAUUUCCGGUUAGCAGGCUGGCCGCGCCUUUCCUUUAGUCCUAUGAACUCCCAGCUUUCCUUCCAGUUUUGUUCUUUCCGGUUCCGGUCGCGUUAGCUCUCAGUACGAUAGACAAUAUGGCAUACCGGGGACAGGGACCGAAAGUCCAGAAAGUGAUGGUUCAGCCCAUCGUAUCUUUUUACAUGUUGGUCUAGGUACUGCCCGCAUGGAGGGCUUCGUCUCGGGCUGUGAUGGCAUCCUAUAUGAUGCACGUGUGUGACCGCCUCAAUGGUGGUUUUGAUCUCUCUCGGGAGGCUCUACUGGGUGUAGUUCAGUUUAAUAAUGUGUGAGGGCUGGGGGGGGGCGCAUAAUAAUGUGUGAGGGCUGGGGGGGGCGCAUAAUAAUGUGUGAGGCUGGGGGCGCAUAAUAAUGUGUGAGGGGCCAGGGGGCGCAUAAUAAUGUGUGAGGGCUGGGGGCGCAUAAUAAUGUGGGCUGGGGGAGCGCAUAAUAAUGUGAGGGCUGGGGGCGCAUAAUAAUGUGAGGGCUGGGAGGGUGAGGCUGGGGGGAGGGCUGGGGGGAGCAUAAUAAUGUGUGAGGGCUGGGGAGCGCAUAAUAAUGUGUGAGGGCUGGGGGGCGCAUAAUAAUGUGUGAGGGCUGGGGAGCGCAUAAUAAUGUGUGAGGCUGUUAAUGUGGGCUGCAUAGGCUGGGGCGCAUAAUAAUGUGUGAGGGCUGGGGCUAUAAUGAAUGUGAGGGCUGAGGUGCUGGGGUAUAAUAGGGCUAUAAAUGAUAAAGCAGGAGCUGGGGCUUAUAUAAUAAUGUGAGGGCUGGGGGGCAUAAUAAUGUGUGAGGGCUGGGGGCAUAAUAAUGUGUGAGGGCUGGGGGAUGCAUAAUAAUGUGUGAGGGCUGGGGGAGCGCAUAAUAAUGUGUGAGGGCUGGGGGGAUAAUACGUGUGAGGGCUGGGAGCGAUGCGACAAUAAUGUGUGUGGGCUGGGAGGGGGAUACUAAUGUGUGAGGGUUGGACAUACUAAUGUGUGUGAGGGCUGGGAGGGGGAGCGAUACUAGGUGUGAGGGCUGGAGGGGAGCGCAUACUAAUGUGUGAGGGCUGAGGGGAGCGAUACUAAUGUGUGAGGGGCUGGGAGGGCUGGAGAGGGGGACUAAUGCAUACUAAUGGCAGGGGGGGCGCAUAAUAAUGUGGGAGGGCUGGAGAUUGUGCAAAAAGUUCUAGAUUUUUAUUGACAUGUAACAUGAUUCUGUAUCUAUUCUAAACCAUCUGGCUAUAAUCCUUAAUCUAGGUAUAACAGAACCUUAUUUUCAGGUAUCUACAGAAUGUAAGUAUCCUGUGUGUGUGUG